UAAAUUUUAGUUUAAGAAAAAAUUUUUUUUUUACAAAAAAAAGAAAUUAAAUUAUUAUUAAUAAAUUUAA
rnacentral:tRNA from 1 species